ACUGUCCUACGGGGCGCAGCAGUGAGGAAUAUUGGUCAAUGGCCGGAAGGCUGAACCUGCCAAGCCGCGUGAAGGACGAAGGUGCCAAGCAUUGUAAACUUCUUUUGUCAAGGGACAAAAUCAGGCUCGAGAGCCUGACCGAGGGUACUUGGAGAAAAAGCAUCGGCUAACUCCGUGCCAGCAGCCGCGGUAAUACGGAGGAUACGAGCGUUAUCCGGAUUUAUUGGGUUUAAAGGGUGCGUAGGCGGGCUGUUAAGUCAGCGGUGAAAGCCCGGGGCUCAACCCCGGCGAGCCGUUGAAACUGG
rnacentral:rRNA from 1 species